AGAGUUUGAUCCUGGCUCAGGACGAACGCUGGCGGCGCGCCUAACACAUGCAAGUCGAACGAGAGAUGAAGAGCUUGCUCUUCAAAUCGAGUGGCGAACGGGUGAGUAACGCGUGAGGAACCUGCCUCAAAGAGGGGGACAACAGUUGGAAACGACUGCUAAUACCGCAUAAGCCCACGGCUCGGCAUCGAGCAGAGGGAAAAGGAGCAAUCCGCUUUGAGAUGGCCUCGCGUCCGAUUAGCUAGUUGGUGAGGUAACGGCCCACCAAGGCAACGAUCGGUAGCCGGACUGAGAGGUUGAACGGCCACAUUGGGACUGAGACACGGCCCAGACUCCUACGGGAGGCAGCAGUGGGGAAUAUUGCACAAUGGGGGAAACCCUGAUGCAGCGACGCCGCGUGGAGGAAGAAGGUCUUCGGAUUGUAAACUCCUGUUGUUGAGGAAGAUAAUGACGGUACUCAACAAGGAAGUGACGGCUAACUACGUGCCAGCAGCCGCGGUAAAACGUAGGUCACAAGCGUUGUCCGGAAUUACUGGGUGUAAAGGGAGCGCAGGCGGGAGAACAAGUUGGAAGUGAAAUCCAUGGGCUCAACCCAUGAACUGCUUUCAAAACUGUUUUUCUUGAGUAGUGCAGAGGUAGGCGGAAUUCCCGGUGUAGCGGUGGAAUGCGUAGAUAUCGGGAGGAACACCAGUGGCGAAGGCGGCCUACUGGGCACCAACUGACGCUGAGGCUCGAAAGUGUGGGUAGCAAACAGGAUUAGAUACCCUGGUAGUCCACACCGUAAACGAUGAUUACUAGGUGUUGGAGGAUUGACCCCUUCAGUGCCGCAGUUAACACAAUAAGUAAUCCACCUGGGGAGUACGACCGCAAGGUUGAAACUCAAAGGAAUUGACGGGGGCCCGCACAA
rnacentral:rRNA from 1 species